CGUAGGGGACGAGCGUUGUCCGGAUUCAUUGGGCGUAAGAGCGCGUAGGCGGCUCGGAAAGUCGGUCGUGAAAUCCUGGGGCUCAACCCCGGAACUGCGUCCGAUACUUCCGAGCUGGAGGCAGGUAGGGGAGAUCGGAAUUCCUGGUGUAGCGGUGAAAUGCGCAGAUAUCAGGAGGAACACCGGUGGCGAAGGCGGAUCUCUGGGCCUUGCCUGACGCUGAGGCGCGAAAGCUAGGGGAGCGAACAGGAUUAGAUACCCUGGUAGUCCUAGCCGUAAACGUUGGGUGCUAGGUGUGGGCGGAUAUCGACCCCGUCCGUGCCGAAGCUAACGCAUUAAGCACCCCGCCUGGGGAGUACGGCCGCAAGGCUA
rnacentral:rRNA from 1 species